UCCGUAGGUGAACCUGCGGAGGGAUCAUUACUGAGUUUACGCUCUACAACCCUUUGUGAACAUACCUACAACUGUUGCUUCGGCGGGUAGGGUCUCCGCGACCCUCCCGGCCUCCCGCCUCCGGGCGGGUCGGCGCCCGCCGGAGGAUAACCAAACUCUGAUUUAACGACGUUUCUUCUGAGUGGUACAAGCAAAUAAUCAAAACUUUUAACAACGGAUCUCUUGGUUCUGGCAUCGAUGAAGAACGCAGCGAAAUGCGAUAAGUAAUGUGAAUUGCAGAAUUCAGUGAAUCAUCGAAUCUUUGAACGCACAUUGCGCCCGCCAGCAUUCUGGCGGGCAUGCCUGUUCGAGCGUCAUUUCAACCCUCAAGCUCUGCUUGGUGUUGGGGCCCUACAGCCGAUGUAGGCCCUCAAAGGUAGUGGCGGACCCUCCCGGAGCCUCCUUUGCGUAGUAACUUUACGUCUCGCACUGGGAUCCGGAGGGACUCUUGCCGUAAAACCCCCCAAUUUUCCAAAGGUUGACCUCGGAUCAGGUAGGAAUACCCGCUGAACUUAAGCAUAUCAAUAAGCGGAGGA
rnacentral:rRNA from 2 species